rnacentral:rRNA from 1 species
AUGAACGCUGGCGGCGUGCUUAACACAUGCAAGUCGAACGAUGAAGGGAGCUUGCUCCUGGAUUAGUGGCGAACGGGUGAGUAACACGUGAGUAACCUGCCCUUGACUCUGGGAUAAGCCUGGGAAACUGGGUCUAAUACCGGAUAUGACCUUCCAUCGCAUGGUGGUUGGUGGAAAGCUUUUGUGGUUUUGGAUGGACUCGCGGCCUAUCAGCUUGUUGGUGGGGUAAUGGCCUACCAAGGCGACGACGGGUAGCCGGCCUGAGAGGGUGACCGGCCACACUGGGACUGAGACACGGCCCAGACUCCUACGGGAGGCAGCAGUGGGGAAUAUUGCACAAUGGGCGCAAGCCUGAUGCAGCGACGCCGCGUGAGGGAUGGCGGCCUUCGGGUUGUAAACCUCUUUCAGUAGGGAAGAAGCGUAAGUGACGGUACCUGCAGAAGAAGCGCCGGCUAACUACGU